rnacentral:misc_RNA from 1 species
AAAUGCGAUAAGUAAUGUGAAUUGCAGAAUUCAGUGUAUCAUCGAAUCUUUGAACGCACAUUGCGCCCGCCAGCACUCUGGCGGGCAUGCCUGUUCGAGCGUCAUUUCAACCCUCAGAACCCCUUGCGGGAUCUGGCGUUGGGGAUUGGCAUCCAGCCAGCCCCGAAAUCUAGUGGCGGUCCCUCCGCGACCUCCCCUGUGCAGUAGCGAUACCUCGCAGCGGGACAGCGGUCUGACCACGCCGUAAAACCCCCAACUUCUCAAGGUUGACCUCGAAUCAGGUAGGAAUACCCGCUGAACUUAAGC